UCCGGUGCUGAUAGCGGAGCAGAAACACACGUUCCCUUCCCGAACACGGUAGUUAAGGGCUCCAGCGGCGAUGGUACUGUAUAAUUGACUAUGGGAGAGUAGCACGGUGCCGGAAAUUUUUUUACCUCAAGUUGCUUCGCACACAACUUGAGGUUUUUUUU
rnacentral:rRNA from 1 species